rnacentral:rRNA from 1 species
AUACGUAGGAACCAAGCGUUGUCCGGAAUUACUGGGUGUAAAGGGUGCGCAGGCGGAUUUGUGCGUCAAGGGUUAAAUACCUCGGCUCAACCGAGGAAAUGCCUUUGAUACGGCAAGUCUCGAGUACGAGAGAGGAUGGUAGAAUUCCUGGUGUAGCGGUGAAAUGCGUAGAUAUCAGGAGGAAUACCCGUGGCGAAGGCGGCCAUCUGGCUCGUUACUGACGCUCAGGCACGAAAGCGUGGGGAGCAAACAGGAUUAGAAACCCCGGUAGUCC